UAGUCAUAUGCUUGUCUAAAGGAUUAAGCCAUGCAUGUCUAAGUAUAAACUAAUUUAUACGGUGAAACUGCGAACGGCUCAUUAUAUCAGUUAUAAUCUACUUGAUCAUAAACUCUUACUUGGAUAACCGUAGGAAAUCUAGAGCUAAUACAUGCUAAAAACCGUGAGCCUUCUCGGAGGUUAGCGGUGAAUUUAUUAGAUUAAAAAUCAAUGCGGGGCAACCCGGUUCGUUGAUGAUUCAUGAUAACUACUCUUAGCGCUUAGGUCUUGCACCGGC
rnacentral:rRNA from 1 species